CCUACGGGGGGCAGCAGUGGGGAAUAUUGGACAAUGGGGGGAACCCUGAUCCAGCCAUGCCGCGUGUGUGAAGAAGGCCCUCGGGUUGUAAAGCACUUUCAGUGAGGAAGAACGCCUGGUGGUUAAUACCCAUCAGGAAAGACAUCACUCACAGAAGAAGCACCGGCUAACUCCGUGCCAGCAGCCGCGGUAAUACGGAGGGUGCGAGCGUUAAUCGGAAUUACUGGGCGUAAAGCGCGCGUAGGUGGCUUGAUAAGCCGGUUGUGAAAGUCCCGGGCUCAACCUGGGAACGGCAUCCGGAACUGUCAAGCUAGAGUGCAGGAGAGGAAGGUAGAAUUCCCGGUGUAGCGGUGAAAUGCGUAGAGAUCGGGAGGAAUACCAGUGGCGAAGGCGGCCUUCUGGACUGACACUGACACUGAGGUGCGAAAGCGUGGGUAGCAAACAGGAUUAGAUACCCGGGUAGUC
rnacentral:rRNA from 1 species